rnacentral:lncRNA from 1 species
AGGGCACAGACGCCUCUGGCACCUUUCUUUUUCCUUCUUCUUCUUAAAAGCAGGCAUGUCAGCUGUAGGUGCAGAAGCCAUGCUGGAACCAGGAGGCAACCAGCAAGAGGGCCUCAUCUACAGUCAGGACCACACACCCUUCCCCAUGGCUAAAGGAGAAUGGAAAAUACUGGAAUGUUAUAACUUUCCCUGGAACUUCCGACUUCUGAAUCCUGAACAACUGUGCUUUCAAGAUCGCCAAGUGGGUCUAUGCCAGUAAACAAGUCACAUCUGCCUCUCUGGGGCCACCUUACCCAACACCAUCAGCAUUCAUUCGCUGGGUCAUGGAUCUCCUUGUCUCCAGAGCAUCCUUAAUUCUCGAGAGGGGGUAAAAACGCACUGUUAUAAAGAAAUUAGAUUAAAUUUGUUUUUAAGUUUCAUUAUUUUAGUGGAAGAAGCUGGGAUAGAAUUAGAACAGCAGAGCUGCACAAAGGGAAACAAGAUAGAGGAGCGUCAGAGCACUGGGACGGGGAAGAAGAAAAUAGUAGGAAAAGGAGAAGGAAGUAGGACAAAUGUACAUUUGCCCCAGAGACAGUCCUAAUUAGGCUCUUUUCUUCUCUGUUGCUGUUUUUGCUUCCUUUGGUUUAAAAAUAAAGUGGC